AUUGAACGCUGGCGGCAUGCCUUACACAUGCAAGUCGAACGGCAGCAUGGAAGAGCUUGCUCUUCUGAUGGCGAGUGGCGAACGGGUGAGUAAAGCAUCGGAACGUUCCGUGUAGUGGGGGAUAACGUAGCGAAAGUUACGCUAAUACCGCAUACGCACUGAGGUGGAAAGCAGGGGAUCGCAAGACCUUGCGCUAUACGAGCGGCCGAUGUCAGAUUAGCUAGUUGGUAGGGUAAAGGCCUACCAAGGCGGCGAUCUGUAGCGGGUCUGAGAGGAUGAUCCGCCAGACUGAGACUGAGACACGGCCCAGCCUCCGACGGGAGGCAGCAGUGGGGAAUUUUGGACAAUGGGGGAAACCCUGAUCCAGCCAUGCCGCGUGAGUGAAGAAGGCCUUCGGGUUGUAAAGCUCUUUCGGCGGGGAAGAAAUCGCACAGGCUAAUACUCUGUGUGGAUGACGGUACCAGCAUAAGAAGCACCGGCUAACUACGUGCCAGCCGCCGCUGUAA
rnacentral:rRNA from 1 species